AAUAAGCGGAGGAAAAGAAACUAACAAGGAUUCCCCUAGUAACGGCGAGUGAAGCGGGAUGAGCUCAAAUUUGUAAUCUGGCGGCCUUUGGCCGUCCGAGUUGUAGUCUGGAGAAGCGUUUUCCGCGUCGGACCGUGUACAAGUCCCUUGGAACAGGGCGUCGUAGAGGGUGAGAAUCCCGUCUUUGACACGGACUGCCGAUGCUUUGUGAUGCGCUCUCGAAGAGUCGAGUUGUUUGGGAAUGCAGCUCAAAACGGGUGGUAAAUUCCAUCUAAAGCUAAAUACGGGCGAAAGACCGAUAGCGAACAAGUACCGUGAGGGAAAGAUGAAAAGCACUUUGGAAAGAGAGUUAAACAGUACGUGAAAUUGUUGAAAGGGAAACGCUUGAAGUCAGUCGCGUCUCCUGGGACUCAGCCUUGCUUCUGCUCGGUGUACUUCCUGGGGUUGACGGGCCAGCAUCGAUUUUGACCGUCGGAGAAAGGCCUUGGGAACGUGGCACCCUUUGGGUGUGUUAUAGCCCUCGGUCGUAUGCGACGGUUGGGAUCGAGGACCGCAGCACGCCUUUUUGGCCGGGGUUCGCCCACGUACGUGCUUAGGAUGCUGGCGUAAUGGCUUUAAGCGACCCGUCUUGAAACACGGACCAAGGAGUCUAACAUGCCUGCGAGUGUUUGGGUGGUAAACCCGGACGCGAAAUGAAAGUGAAAGGUUGGGACCUCUGUCGUGGAGGGCACCGACGCCCGGACCAGACCUUUUGUGACGGUUCCGAGGUAGAGCAUGCAUGCUGGGACCCGAAAGAUGGUGAACUAUGCUUGAGUAGGGUGAAGCCAGAGGAAACUCUGGUGGAGGCUCGUAGCGAUUCUGACGUGCAAAUCGAUCGUCGAACUUGAGUAUAGGGGCGAAAGACUAAUCGAACCAUCUAGUAGCUGGUUCCUGC
rnacentral:rRNA from 1 species